rnacentral:lncRNA from 1 species
AAACUGACGUUUCUACAAUGUCAUAUAUUAAAACUAUCAGACUUAGCUCUAGGAGCCGUAGUUUGUUUGUAUCGCCGCAGUUUUGGGCGGUGGAUACCCAGAAUAGUGUAGAAUAUAUUUACGCUCGUGUUGAGAUGCCGAGUACAUUUUUACAGCAGUGUUUAGGUUGUUGCGAAUUGUCGAGUGCCGUUGAGGUUAAUGGUGGACCCAGAUUGCUGUUUUGGCAUCAGAUUGUGCCGAGGGCACGUGAAUUCAGUUGUUAGACCUUGUUUACUUGACUAUAGUCUGUGAGAGCCUGAUUGAGCUCGACAGAGACACGCUUGCAUACUCGGCUAGGUAGCGCCCACGAGUGCCACUCC